AUCCGGGGCUCCGGUCGCCGGCCCCCGCCCUCGAGACGGGCAGGCAGACAGACCACUCCCCCCGCCCAGACCGAUGGUCGGACUCCCCCUCCCUGACGGAUGGACAGACCCCUUCCCCCUGUACAGACCUCCUCCUUCCCGCGCGGACGAGUGGAGCCCCCCCUCCCCCGACUCAGGGACAGCUGGAUCCCCCCUCACGGACAGGCGAACAGAUACCCCUCCCCCCCGACAGCUAGACAGACCCUCCUGCUCUCACGAACAGGCGGACAGUCGCCCUCCCCAAAGGUCCCCUAAGGCAGACCCUCCUCCGGCCCGCAGGGACAGGCAGACGGGCAGGAAGAUGCACCCCCUCCCCCCGCCGCUGACACGAUCCCCUUCAGAUCGCAGCAGACAGGUCUCCCCCUUCUAUCUCGGAGUGCGCACAGACCCCUCCCCCGCCACAGUCACCCUUAAGCUCCCAGACAGCCCCCCCUCCCCCCAGGACAAACGCUGGCGUCCCUCCUGAUCGCGCAGACCGCCCCCCCCACCGCCCCCAGAGCGCUCCGCAGCCCCCCGAGCGCCGAGGCGGCCUCCCCGGACCCCCGCCCCCGCAGACCCACCGGAGCGCACCCAGACGGACGCGCCGACGGACCAACAGACGGAACGCCGCCCCGGCCGCGCGGGCUCAGCCCCCGGCGCCUCCGGCUGCCCGGCCCGGGCUGAGCGAGCCGCAGCUUCCCCGCCGCCGCCGCCGCCUCCCGCCCGCCCUCAGCCGCGCUCCCAGCCUCCCCGCCUCGGACUGAUGAGGUAACUGCAGGCCGCCCCCUCCUCCAGACAGCUCAGGGGUCACCCAAAGGUGACUCCGCCUUUGAACCCCGGCGCCCGGUUCCGGCAGCAGCCUCUCCGGUCCCCAACCCCACCGCCUUCCCUCGCGGCCCCUCCCCUGCGCCCCUCCCCCUCCCGCCGGAUGGCCCAGCCCCGGAUUCAGAAGGAGCUCCCCAGCUCCGCUCCCCGCGCUCUGCCUCGGCGCCCCCUCCCGCUCAUUUCGGUCUCAGCCCCUCUCGCUCCUUUGAUGACUCCCCCUUCCCCGCCCCCUCCCCCGCUCGCAGCCUCCUCCCACUGGCCACUUGAAAGCGGAGCUGAGAAUCCGCCGGUUUCGCUGGGAAGCUGGGCCCCGGGGGGGUUGGGGGGGUCCGGAAGCCAGAGACCCCCAGCUCCCCUUGUCCCCCCGCGCCAAACACUCGGAUGAGUAACUCCAAGGCGCGAGCUCCCGGGGGCCUGCGCAGCGCGGCCGAGGGAGGCCCGAGGGAGCCCGGGGGGCUGUCGGGCCGGGGUGGAGCUGCCUGCGCCCGGAGCCUUCUCCUGUUUCCGCGCCGUCCCCUCUGCCGGCAGGCCCUUCCCCAGCAGGGCUCCCUCGCACCCCACCCUGGCUCGUUCCCGCCCUGCGCUCCGGCUGCGGCUGCGGCGCCCUCCCCCCGCCCCCGCCCCCGCCCCCAGGCCCAGAGCAUCAGGGAGGCUCCCGAAAUCCCCCUCUUUUUACAAAAGGAGAAACUAAGGCAGGAAAGGGAAAGUGACUGUCCAAAGUCACAGGUAAUAAGGCGGGACCAGGGUCGCAUCUGAGAUCGGGGAAUCACAAGCUUAGAGCUGGAAGGAAGCUCAAUUCUCAUUUUCAGAAAAGGAAACUGAGGCCCGAAGCUACGUCCCGGGGUCGCCCAGCUAAUAAGGGUCAAAGGCAGACUCCAAGGGGGGGGUCUUCCUCACCCACACUGAACUGAAGAACUGGGACAAGGGGCUGCGGCCGCUCUCCUGCGGAGGAAGAUGCGGCGUUGGAGAGCUCUUAGGGACCUUGGAGAGCUCAAGCGGCCCCGCCCAGCGCGGAGGGGUCGUGCCUUGUCCGGGUCACUCCAACAAAGGAGCAGAGCCAGUAGCAGGAGCCAGGCUUUCCCGUGGGCAGGCGCCCCUCCCUCUCUCCAGAGGGGGAGCCCCCCGCCCCCCCUGCAGGAAGCUGCAGGUCCUUUUCCCUCCGGGAUUGUGGCCCUCCUGCUCCGGUUUGCCCCCUCCCCCCUUUGUCCCUGGGGACAAAUCUCCCUUUUGGGGAACUUAGGAAAGUGAUUGCUCCUCGAGUCAGCGGGCUAACAGAGGCAGCCCCCCGAAGCUUUCUGCUCCAUCCGCUUCCCCUGCUACUUCCUUGGUGGGUCUGGUCCCGGAAUUCUACCCUUCCCCCUGCCAAGGCCUCUUGGAGGAGAGGAGAGGAGAAAAUCUGGGGAGAAAGGACUGGGUGUUGGAGGGGCCACGUCAGCACAGGCCCCCAGAACGGCAGAGAAGGUGGGAUUCUGGGAACGACAGAGGGACAAGGGGCUAUCUCUUGGCCCAGCCCAGAGAUUCACAAAAAAAGUCCUCCAGCUUCUAGGACUGAGCCGGAACAAGGGCUGCUGGGAAAGCGGUCCUAAAGGGCUGGGGGGGAGCGGGCCCCCUCCCUCUGGCCUGGCUUUUGUGCAGGAACGAUGACAGAUCAGCUGCUGUGGGCUCCCAUGAUGCCGUGGAGACAGCCCCGAGGGCUGCAGGGAGCCUCGAGGGGCCACGUAAUCCACUCCAGCCCCCAGCCCCAGGCAAGAACCCCGACUCUGAGCUCUCCCCGCCCUCCCCCCUCUGGCAUGCAGCUGGGGGACCGAGUCCUUCGGGUCAGGAGCAUCUCCCAAGUGGAACCCGGCCUGCUGAGCUGCUCCUACCCCUGGUCUCCUGCCUGAACAGGGCCCCAGAUAACGGGCACCCAAGAGUCAUUUAAGCCCGCCCCCUGAUUUCCCGGUCCCCUUCCUUUGGACAGCAAGGGGCCCAAGCUUGGCAGGAAGGCCCGGGGAUCAGUUCACUUCCACAGGACCGAACCAAACCUCAACAGGACGCAUGGUGAAUGGGCCCAAAGUCCCAGCGUGGGUUUCGGGGGGAUCCGUGACAAGAAUUAGCGUGAGUCGUAGGGGCCGCGGGAGGACGCUCCCCUUAUCCAAAGCCCCGGGAGUGGAGAGAGCUGGCCAGCACCCAGAAGGCCUCAGCUGGUGGGUGCCCGGAGGCCCAGUGGCUUCCCAGCCGCGGCCCAAGAUCCCGGCUGCUCAAGUCUGGCAGUUUCGUCAUUCGGGAAAAGGGGGAAAAACCCACAGCUUGCCGGGCGCUUAGGUGCAAGUCCAAACUUCUGCCGGUGGCGUUGGAAGCCCUGCCCGUCCUCCUCGCCCUCCUUCUCUGCCAGGGCUUGGGUCAAACCGGUUCUCCCGGCCCUUCCUCUGCCCUCCCUGCGCCCCCCAGAAGGCCCCGGCGCUCAGCCACCCUUGAAGCCUCCGAGGAGAAGAGCCAGCCCGCCAGGACGGCGCUCCCCUGACUCGGCACUCGGCCCUCGGGCGCUCGGCUCUCGGCGCUCCUAGCUCCAUGUCAUCUUUUUUGCCCUCCCUGGUCCUUGGCACGUUGCUUGGCACACGGGGGGGACGCUUAACCCUUGCUCUUCGCUCCCCGCCUCCUCCGGCCGCAGCAUGCCCUCUCUGAGGGCAGGGACCGUUAUUUUGUGUCUUUGCCGGCAUCGCGCUGCACCUGGGAGACUCCGAGGGAGGGGGGCUGGCGCAGAGACCUCAGGUGGGAUCUCACCUGUUUCUUACCAGCGGGGUAACACGGGACAAGUCAGAAUCGCUUAAUAAUCGCAAGAGCCAUCCAGUGUAGCUCGGACCCAAAGGGAUCCCCAGGCUCUACCUGACAAAUAAAUGGUCCCUGAGUCUCCCCGCUCCCCCAUUGGAAGGAAGUUUCUCUUCCCAGGGAGCCGAGCCUCAGUUUUACAUCUGUAAAA